GAUGAACGCUAGCGGCGGGCUUAAUACAUGCAAGUCGAACGGUAACAGGUCUUUGGACGCUGACGAGUGGCGCACGGGUGCGUAACACGUACACAACCUACCCUAAAGAGGGGAUAGCUCUUGGAAACGAGGAAUAAUACCCCAUAGUACUUGUUGGUCGCAUGGUUGACAAGUUAAAGGUUUACUGCUUUAGGAUGGGUGUGCGGGCCAUUAGGUAGUUGGAGAGGUAACGGCUCACCAAGCCUACGAUGGUUAGCUGGUCUGAGAGGAUGAUCAGCCACACGGGCACUGAGACACGGGCCCGACCUCCGUACGGGAGGCAGCAAGGUAAAGGAAUAGUUGGAACAAGUGGGACGAAAGCCUGACUCCAGCCACGCCGCGUGC
rnacentral:rRNA from 1 species